AUGAACGCUGGCGGCGUGCCUAAUCCAUGCAAGUCGAGCGAACAGACGAGGAGCUUGCUCCUUUGACGUUAGCGGCGGACGGGUGAGUAACACGUGGAUAACCUACCUAUAAGACUGGGAUAACUUCGGGAAACCGGAGCUAAUACCGGAUAAUAUAUUGAACCGCAUGGUUCAAUAGUGAAAGACGGUUUUGCUGUCACUUAUAGAUGGAUCCGCGCCGCAUUAGCUAGUUGGUAAGGUAACGGCUUACCAAGGCAACGAUGCGUAGCCGACCUGAGAGGGUGAUCGGCCACACUGGAACUGAGACACGGUCCAGACUCCUACGGGAGGCAGCAGUAGGGAAUCUUCCGCAAUGGGCGAAAGCCUGACGGAGCAACGCCGCGUGAGUGAUGAAGGUCUUCGGAUCGUAAAACUCUGUUAUUAGGGAAGAACAAAUGUGUAAGUAACUAUGCACGUCUUGACGGUACCUAAUCAGAAAGCCACGGCUAACUACGUG
rnacentral:rRNA from 1 species